rnacentral:rRNA from 1 species
UACGGGGGGGGCAAGCGUUAUUCGGAAUUACUGGGCGUAAAGGGCUCGUAGGCGGCCAACUAAGUCGGAUGUUAAAUCCCCAGGCUUAACCUGGGAACUGCAUCCGAUACUGGAUGGCUUGAAUCCGGGAGAGGGAUGCAGAAUUCCAGGUGUAGCGGUGAAAUGCGUAGAUAUCUGGAGGAAUACCGGUGGCGAAGGCGGCAUCCUGGACCGGCAUUGACGCUGAUGAGCGAAAGCUAGGGGAGCAAACGGG